AGGUCACUGACAUUAGAUACCCCUGUAGUCCAGGGUGUAAACGCUGCCGACUUGGUGUUGGAGGCCCUUCGGGGGCAUUCAGUGCCGGAGAGAAGUUGUUAAGUCGGCCACUUGGGGAGUACGUCCGCAAGGAUGAAACUUAAAGGAAUUGGCGGGGGAGCACCGCAACGGGAGGAGCGUGCGGUUUAAUUGGAUUCAACACCGGAAAACUCACCAAGGGCGACUGUUACAUGAAAGCCAGGCUAACGACCUUGCUUGAUUUUCAG
rnacentral:rRNA from 1 species